rnacentral:sRNA from 1 species
GCCGGGUGUGGGGGCACACACCUGUAAUCCCAGAGGCUCUGGAGGCUGAGGCAGGAGGAUCUUGAGUUCAAGGCCGGCCUCAG